rnacentral:rRNA from 1 species
GUGAGGAAUUUUCCGCAAUGGGCGAAAGCCUGACGGAGCAAUGCCGCGUGAAGGAUGAAGGCCUAUGGGUUGUAAACUUCUUUUCUCAGAAAAGAAUUAUGACGGUAUCUGAAGAAUAAGCAUCGGCUAACUCUGUGCCAGCAGCCGCGGUAAGACAGAGGAUGCAAGCGUUAUCCGGAAUGAUUGGGCGUAAAGCGUCUGUAGGUUGUUUAAAAAGUAUUCUGUCAAAGAUUAGGGCUUAACCCUAGAUAGGCAGAAUAAACUUUUAAGCUAGAGUGUGGUAGAGGCAGAGGGAAUUCCCGGUGGAGCGGUGAAAUGCGUAGAUAUCGGGAGGAACACCAAAGGCGAAGGCACUCUGCUGGGCCAAUACUAACACUGAGAGACGAAAGCGAGGGGAGCAAAUGGGAUUAGAUACCCUAGUAGUCC